rnacentral:rRNA from 1 species
CCUACGGGUGUCAGCAGUGAGGAAUAUUGGUCAAUGGGCUUACGCCUGAACCAGCCAAGUCGCGUGAGGGAAGACUGCCCUAUGGGUUGUAAACCUCUUUUGUCAGGGAGCAACGCAGGCUACGUGUAGCCGGACUGAGAGUACCUGAAGAAAAAGCAUAGGCUAACUCCGUGCCAGCAGCCGCGGUCAUACGGAGGAUGCGAGCGUUAUCCGGAGUUAUUGGGUUUAAGGGGUGCGUAGGCGGAAUGCCAAGUCAGCGGUAAAAUAUCGGGGAACAACCUCGCUCCGCCGUUGAAACUGGCGUUCUUACGUGGACGAGAAGUAUGCGGAAUGCGUGGGGUAGCGGUGAAAUGCAUAGAUAUCACGCAGAACUCCGAUUGCGAAGGCAGCAUACCGGCGCCCAACUGACGCUGAAGCACGAAAGCGUGGGUAUCGAACAGGAUUAGAUACCCCUGUAGUC